GAUCGCCGUAUGCGAUGAAAGUCGCCUGUACGGUGAAGGCUCGUUAUAAAGCAUCUAAAUGUAUAAGACGAGAAU
rnacentral:misc_RNA from 1 species